UAAGGAAUAUUGGACAAUGGCCGCAAGGCUGAUCCAGCCAUCCAGCGUGCAGGAAGAAGGCCCUAUGGGUUGUAAACUGCUUUUAUCAGGGAAGAAACCUCUGGAUUCACUCCGGAGCUGACGGUACCUGAAGAAUAAGCACCGGCUAACUCCGUGCCAGCAGCCGCGGUAAUACGGAGGGUGCGAGCGUUAUCCGGAAUUACUGGGUUUAAAGGGUGCGUAGGCGGCUUUGUAAGUCAGGAGUGAAAGUUUGCGGCUCAACCGUAAAAUUGCUUCUGAUACUGCAUAGCUAGAAUCAGGAUGAGGUCAGCGGAAUGUGGCAUGUAGCGGUGAAAUGCAUAGAUAUGCCAUAGAACACCAAUUGCGAAGGCAGCUGGCUAGACCUGUAUUGACGCUGAGGCACGAAAGCGUGGGGAGCGAACAGGAUUAGAUACCCUGGUAGUCCACGCCCUAAACGAUGCUUACUCGACGUAUGGCCCUCGUGGUUGUGCGUCCAAGGGAAACCGUUAAGUAAGCCACCUGGGGAGUACGACCGCAAGGUUGC
rnacentral:rRNA from 1 species